CUGUUGCAGACUGGAGCUUCUCACUGGCAGUGGUGCGGGGCACAUAAGACGAAUAGCUGUCACGCGUCUUAAAUGACCAACUUCGUUACAAUAUUCGGGGUUUUUUUUUGGUUAUAUGUGUCCCGGAAAGAAUAACGUGUAGGCACGUAUACAAAAUUUUGAAAGUAACAUGAAAAUUUUGAUUAGGAGUUAAGCUGAUCCAAUAGGCAGAUGACAUAGUUGGAAGAAAAAUGACGUACUGUGAAGCAUAACAGGCGCACAAAACCGUCUUGCAACUUUUUGCGAUAUGAUUUAGCAUCGAAAGUGGAAGGAGAUACCACAACCAUGAGACAGGCAACGCCCUAAACGGUGAUAAAAAAACCUGAGAAGGCAUCCAGCCAACAAAUGUAAAAGGUUCCAUAAAAUGAAACUAUGGCUUUUCAAGCAAGCAGCAUCUCCAUAUAACACAAAGACUGGCAAAAGUAUCCAUUUCUCAUGAAACAGAAACUAGUGCAGGAGUUUCUGUCAUUUCUACAUGGCCACUGGCCCCUACAAUCUACAGAAAGAGGAAACCACCACACCAAAGGAAUGAAUACCACUAUCCAUGGUAAGGUAACGGGACACUUAGUUUAUUCUGGAACCUUCAAGCCAUGUCACAUUCAGAACCUCUUUACGACCUUCCUUCUUAGCACAGUGUCCAGAUCCAGAGCCUCCUGUUCCACUCCUACAUGAUGGUCCACCUCCCACACUUCAUGGUGCAAGCAAGCCUCUCAGUCACCAUACAACAAAUUCAAUUUACAACUUCAAGACAACUCAAAUUAAAAUUAAAACAGAGGAUGCUUAAAAUAAAGGCCAAACCUUUUUGUGUGCUCACCCUUCUGCACAUCUUUAUCUCCUAACCUCCACCUCAGCUGUUAUUUGUCUCCCUGAUCGAGUCUAUUCAUUAACUAUGUCAACUGGCCAUUCUUUAUAUAUUAAGAAGUGUACUGAGAUUGUUGGUUUUCAUUUAUGUUAAUCAGUUUUAAACUACUUUCUUUUUCUGUGUGUUUAAACAAAUCUGUGCCUUUAUGUACACUAAUGUUGUAUUUAAUAAUCUGUAAAAUGUAUACUUUUAUUUUACCUGAGAACUUGUCACAGCAAAAUAAACUGAAUUGAACUACAGUUGGGAGAAGUCAAGAACUAUCAACCCUUUGACAGUUUGUAAAUUUAAGGCAAAAAAGAAUCAUUUAAAAAAAGCAAAAAAAAAAAACGACAGCUUAGCUAUGAGCUAAAAAUGUGCUUGAUGGGCUGAAUGGUCUCCUCUCAUUUUUCGAAUUUCUUAUGUUCUAAAUAUAUCAUAGUUAACAACUAGAGUGCAAAAAGAAAUAUACUAAUCAGAACAAACUGAAUAAUAUUCUUAGAGGAAAGUGAACAAACCUAAUUAUGAAUUAACAAAUACAAAUCAUGAGUAACUUAUAAAAUGAAUACAAUUAUAAAACAAAUAUAUCAAAUCAACAAGUGACAGUAGCUGGCACCUCUGUAAAUAGCUAACACUUCCUCCCCACACACACACCCACACAAGAUCCUGCGUUACCUGCAGUAUUGCGUUCUGAUGACUGAGAGGUUCGGUAUUUUAGGGCAUUAUCUCUGUUUGAUGGGGGGAAAAGGGUCCCCUGGAAGAUUAAAAAAGUGACACCAAGCAGUCCUUGACAAUCUUAGGCACUGGAUUUAAAAGACAGGCAGCACGUCAUAGGCUACAGUAGAGCAGGUUUUUCUUCCAAAAAAGUUGUGGAAAGUGUCCAGUCUUCCAGAUCUAUAGUCAUCAGCCCAACUAAAAUAUCAGAUAGAUAUGGGUUAGCAAGUCAAUAACAUCUGAAAACUUUGUGUUAACAUAUUAAGGGUACUGUUAUAAAUGCAUCAUGAAAUUGGUAUCUCUGGGUUUAUUUGGUGGAUUGUAAGAGAAUAAAUUGUGACAAUUAAUAGCCGUUUUUGAAAUGGAAAGAUGAAAUAAAUGAAAGCCAUGAGCAAAGUGUCAAGAGAUAAUAGGGAAGCAUAGAAAUCAAAAUCAGAAGUUGAAACAGGUGAAGCAACAGUGUUUCUGUUAAAACUAAAUGGAAAGUUAUCAUGAUUAGAAUGAUGGUCUUAGUUCCAUCUUGCCUUUUGCAAUCCCACUCCACCAAGGUGUAUCUCAAGAUUUGGGGAAGGGCAGUGAUAGGGAUGCUCACCCCUUUCGUCUUGUCCACUCUACACCUACCCCUUCAUGAGAUGACUGUGUCACAACUAAGGAAGGUACAGUGAAUAUAAAGUAAGAUUUACAAGACCUGUUCAAAUCAAUCAUUGAAUUUACAACUGUGCAAAAUAACAUUUAGAAUAUUAUUACAGUACUAGCUGUGCAACUCGUCUAAGUAAUCAAUGUAGACAUCAGUGUUAAUGUUUGUAGUGUAUCAUCUAUUGAAAUUUAUUUUGUAAUGCAUGUAGUGAUAAAAUGCAUUGCAUUGGUUAUUCAUUCCAGCAGAUCAUGGAUAACAAAUAUUCAUAGUAAUAAAAUGCAUCUGUUGGAACAAUAAAUGCAACACAUUUUAUUACAAUGAACGUUUGUUAUGUGACAUCUGCUGGAAUUACAGAGUCAUAGCAGCCAGACUGACACGUAUUCACAGAAUACACACACUUGUCCUUUUGUUAAAGUGGAUGUUGAAUAUUGUAAUAUUUAACAUGAUUAUUGUGACUAAUGCAGCAACAGGAAAUACACUAAAUAAAUAAAAUCUAUUAUUGUUAUUAUUAUAUUGCAGAAAUAUGGAAAAACAUUUUCAAAGCAUUGCUUCCUUGGGUCCACUAUAUGGAAAAAUUUCAAUGCUAAGGCUAAAAUGUAAAAUGAUUAAUAGUUUCUACAAACUUAUGUAUGAAUUUGGCAAUAUGAAGUAACAAGUAUUAAAAAAAAAAAAACUUUAAUAGUUCCCUAAGAAAACUGUUUGAGGAAAGAUUUAGGGAUGUGCUCAGAAAUAGUGAAAGAAGUCGACUGCAUGAAAAAAUUUGAAAUAAUUCCAGGAUGACAUUGACAGCUGAUAGUAGACCACCAUUUGUUUAUUUAUUCUCGUAUGGUUUAGACAACAAAAUUGCAAAGAAAAGUUCUUGUAUUGCAUGGAAGAGAAAGAAUGAAAAAGGCAAUAAAGUUCAGGGCAGUACAUUAUUGCAAUAACGAAACACACACACACACCAGGAAUGGCUUAUCUAUGAAGCAGAAUUGUUCUUCUCUGUUUUCAAGACAAACUUCAGUAAAAGUCCUAGGGUAAGACCUCCUCUGUAAAUGAGGCUGUCAACCUUAUUGUACCUCUGAAGGUGUGAUCCUCCGGGCACCUGAGACCCAGAUCUUUUUGGUUCAUUCCAUCUUUCAAGAAAAUCUUCCUCUAUUUAUUUAGGAGGGGGUACUCCAGUGCACUCUUAAAAAUAAUGGCUUUAAAGUGGCAUUUUACUGGGUUGUUUGGGACCUUGUAGAACAAUUACUUGACAAUGAACCAUUUCAUUUUGGGAGUAUCAGAUUGUGUCUUUGGAGUUUAAAAAGAUUUCUAAUAUGUGGAUAAAAAAGAUUUUUUUAUGUAUAGAAGGCUUCCUAGUAGAAUAUUACCAGAUAAAGAAAACCUGAACUCAGCCUGUAUUAUCAUAUGCAGAAAGAAUUCAUUUAAAAGUAGGA